rnacentral:rRNA from 1 species
UACCAGCACCCCGAGUGGUCGGGACGUUUAUUGGGCCUAAAGCAUCCGUAGCCGGUUCUACAAGUCUUCCGUUAAAUCCAGCUGCUUAACAGAUGGGCUGCGGAAGAUACUAUGGAGCUAGGAGGCGGGAGAGGCAAGCGGUACUCGAUGGGUAGGGGUAAAAUCCGUUGAUCCAUUGAAGACCACCAGUGGCGAAGGCGGGUCUCUGGGCAGUAACUGACGCUGAGGAGCGAAAGCGUGGGGAGCGAACAGG